AGCUAAAAAAUCAUCAUCCCAGAGAAGAGAGAGGCAGGAAUUUCUCUGCAAGCCAGAGAGAGAUGAACAUCAGACAUCUGGAAAGAAAAGCUGAGAAUUCUAAACAGUAAAGAGUAGAGAUGAGGUUUCACUAUGUUGGUUGGGCUGGUCUCAAACUCCUGACUUCAAAUGAUCCACCUGCCUUGGCCUCCCAAAAUGCUGGGUUUACAGGCGUGAGCCACCAUGCCCAGCCACCACUGGCAUUAUGGAGUCUCACUCUGUCACCCGUGCUGGAGUGCAGGGGCAGGCUCUCAGCUCACUGCAACCUCCACCUCCCGGGUCCAAACAGUUCUCCUGCCUCAGCCUUCCGAGUAGCUGGGACUACAGAUGCUCAGAGGCCCCAUGCCUGAUGAGUCAGUGGACAGGGGACAUUGAAUAUGACCCGCUUCUGCCACCCAUUCCACACCAAACAACUCUGUGUGACCUACAAAAUCUUAAAGGCAUCUUUUCAAGUUGUAAGCUGAAGGAAGAUAUGUCGGAUUUCAGGCUGUCCUCACUCUCAACAUCCCCUCCAGCCAACUGCUGUUCUGAUUUUCCCU
rnacentral:lncRNA from 1 species